rnacentral:antisense_RNA from 1 species
CUUGAGCGAGCCCAGCCACAAAGGCACGUCCCGGUCCUGGCCGUAGGUCGCCAGCAGGGCCUGCGCUUC